rnacentral:rRNA from 1 species
GACGAACGCUGGCGGCGUGCUUAACACAUGCAAGUCGAACGAUGAAGCCGGAGCUUGCUCUGGUGGAUUAGUGGCGAACGGGUGAGUAACACGUGAGUAACCUGCCCUUGACUCUGGGAUAAGCGUUGGAAACGACGUCUAAUACCGGAUACGACCUUCGGAGGCAUCUCCUGGGGGUGGAAAGAAUUUCGGUCAAGGAUGGACUCGCGGCCUAUCAGCUGGUUGGUGAGGUAAUGGCUCACCAAGGCGACGACGGGUAGCCGGCCUGAGAGGGUGACCGGCCACACUGGGACUGAGACACGGCCCAGACUCCUACGGGAGGCAGCAGUGGGGAAUAUUGCACAAUGGGCGCAAGCCUGAUGCAGCAACGCCGCGUGAGGGACGACGGCCUUCGGGUUGUAAACCUCUUUUAGUAGGGAAGAAGCGAAAGUGACGGUACCUGCAGAAAAAGCACCGGCUAACUACGUGCCAGCCGCCGCCGUAAAAC